ACUUAAGUAGUUUAUAUAAAAUUAUGAUUUGUGGUGUCAUAGAUGUAGAUGUAGAUUAUUACCUUAAGUU
rnacentral:tRNA from 1 species